AGCCCCUAGAAGCUUUUAAUGCAGCGGUCUUGUAAACCGCAGAAGGUAAAUACCCAGAGGCUCCCA
rnacentral:tRNA from 1 species